UGAGGAAUAUUGGGCAAUGCCCGCAAGGGUGACCCAGCAACGCCGCGUGGAGGAUGAAUGUCGUAAGAUUGUAAACUCCUGUUAGAGGGGAAGAAUAGUACCGGUUGGACCGGUAUAUGACUGUACCCUCAGAGAAAGCCCCGGCUAACUACGUGCCAGCAGCCGCGGUAAUACGUAGGGGGCAAGCGUUGUCCGGAUUUACUGGGUGUAAGGGGCGCGCAGGCGGGAUAAAAAGUCAGUGGUGAAAUCCUACAGCUUAACUGUAGAACUGCCUUUGAUACUUUUAAUCUUGAGUUCGGGAGAGAGAGACGGAAUUCCAGGUGUAGUGGUGAAAUACGUAGAUAUCUGGAAGAACACCAGUUGCGAAGGCGGUCUCUUGGUCCGACACUGUCGCUGAGGCGCGAAAGCGUGGGGAGCAAACA
rnacentral:rRNA from 1 species